rnacentral:rRNA from 1 species
UACCAGCACCCCGAGUGGUCGGGACGAUUAUUGGGCCUAAAGCAUCCGUAGCCGGUCCUGCAAGUCUUCCGUUAAUCCAGCUGCUCAACAGAUGGGCUGCGGGGAUACUACAGGGCUAGGAGGCGGGAGAGGCAAGCGGUACUUUAUGGGUAGGGGUAAAAUCCGUUGAUCCAUAGAAGACCACCAGUGGCGAAGGCGGCUUGCCAGAACGCGCUCGACGGUGAGGGAUGAAAGCUGGGGGAGCAAACCGG